rnacentral:lncRNA from 1 species
CUGCUGGGGACACUUUCUUCCCUUGAGUUUCCGUCCACUGCUGCUCCACGCAGGACCUCUGGCCAGACUCCUCCGCCUCGCUCAUCCUCUCCCAGGGGAGCCGAGAGGCUAAGCUAACUGGAGAGUUUGAGGUUCAGGCAGGAAAACUAGGAUCGAGUGACUUCGCUCCUUCCCUGGUUGGGAUCAUUCGCUUCUGCUCCUCGGUGCCACAACCUUUGCAGAGGUCAGCUGUUGAGAGAGAACGCCGCUUGUAGCUGGGUAGCCGUUUCUUGUACAAACAUUGAAAAGUUCUUCCCAGGGCUCAAGCGGUUUGCGCUCAUAUGCACCUGUCACUGCCCACGUGGAGGGAGUUUCUGCUGGAGACCAGCUUGGAUUUUCUGCAGUUCAAGCUUUACUUCACCACUGUUAAUCCUCAGAGGGACUCAGUCUUGCUCAACACUAUAUCCCAGUGAUGCCUGGAACAUCCUAGGCCUUCAUAAAUAUCUGUUAAGUGAAGUGACAGGUGAGGGGAUGGAUGGAUGGAUGGAUGGAUGGAUGGAUGGAUGGAUGGAUGGGGGGAUGGAUGGGUGGGGAAU